rnacentral:rRNA from 1 species
UACGUAGGGGGCAAGCGUUAUCCGGAUUUACUGGGUGUAAAGGGAGCGUAGACGGCGAUGCAAGCCAGAUGUGAAAGCCCGCGGCUCAACUGCGGUAGUGCAUUUGAAACUGUGUGACUGGAGUGCAGGAGAGGUAAGCGGAAUUCCUGGUGUAGCGGUGAAAUGCGUAGAUAUCAGGAGGAACACCAGUGGCGAAGGCGGCUUACUGGACUGUAACUGACGUUGAGGCUCGAAAGCGUGGGGAGCAAACAGG